CGGAAGUAAAGGGUCAUAACGACUUAUUCAAGAAACUACUUCCUAACUUUUGUCAAUCCUGUGAAGACUCUAUACUACCAGCUAUAUUAUCAGAUUUCAGUGAACAGAAGUAGAAGAUCAUAACGACUUAUUCAAGAAACUACUUCCUAACUUUAGUCAAUCCUGUGAAGACUCUAUACUACCAGCUAUAUUAUCAGAUUUCAGUGAACGGAAGUAAAGGGUCAUAACGACUUAUUCAAGAAACUACUUCCUAACUUUAGUCAAUCCUGUGAAGACUCUAUACUACC